AAAAAACAUAAGCACUUAUCAUAACCAGAAAUAUAACAAACUAUAUUUGCUAACUAGUGCUGAAAAUGAUAUAUUUUAAGUCUACAAUUAUCUUUUUAGAUUUAAAACUUUUAAAACAAAAGAAUUAACUGCUCUUUUUUUAUUGUAGUAAUCGUUGUUUAAAGGUCUCCGUGACACCAUAACAAUAUGUUUAGGGUCUCGUGCACCAA
rnacentral:lncRNA from 1 species